AGUGAACGCUGGCGGUAGGCCUAACACAUGCAAGUCGAACGGCAGCACAGGAGAGCUUGCUCUCUGGGUGGCGAGUGGCGGACGGGUGAGGAAUACAUCGGAAUCUACUUUUUCGUGGGGGAUAACGUAGGGAAACUUACGCUAAUACCGCAUACGACCUACGGGUGAAAGCAGGGGAUCUUCGGACCUUGCGCGAUUGAAUGAGCCGAUGUCGGAUUAGCUAGUUGGCGGGGUAAAGGCCCACCAAGGCGACGAUCCGUAGCUGGUCUGGGAGGAUGAGCAACCACACUGGAACUGAGACACGGUCCAGACUCCUACGGGAGGCAGCAGUGGGGAAUAUUGGACAAUGGGCGCAAGUCUAAUCCAGCCAUACCGCGUGGGUGAAGAAGGCCUUCGGGUUGUAAAGCCCUUUUGUUGGGAAAGAAAUCCAGCUGGCUAAUACCCGGUUGGGAUGACGGUACCCAAAGAAUAGGCACCGGCUAACUUCGUGCCAGCAGCCGCCGUAA
rnacentral:rRNA from 1 species